UACGUAGGGACCGAGCGUUGUCCGGAAUCAUUGGGCGUAAAGAGCGUGUAGGCGGCCACUUAAGUCCUGCGUGAAAUCUUGCGGCUCAACCGCAAGCGGUCGUGGGAAACUGGGUGGCUAGAGUGCGGGAGAGGAGAGUGGAAUUCCUGGUGUAGCGGUGAAAUGCGCAGAUAUCAGGAAGAACACCCGUGGCUAAGGCGGCCCUCUAGUACGGUACUGACGCUGAGACGCGAAAGCGUGGGGAGCGAACAGG
rnacentral:rRNA from 1 species